rnacentral:rRNA from 1 species
UAGAAGCAGCCAUCAUUUAAAGAAAGCGUAAUAGCUCACUGGUCGAGUCGGCCUGCGCGGAAGAUGUAACGGGGCUAAACCAUGCACCGAAGCUGCGGCAGCGACACUCAGGUGUUGUUGGGUAGGGGAGCGUUCUGUAAGCCUGUGAAGGUGUGUCGUGAGGCAUGCUGGAGGUAUCAGAAGUGCGAAUGCUGACAUAAGUAACGAUAAAGCGGGUGAAAAGCCCGCUCGCCGGAAGACCAAGGGUUCCUGUCCAACGUUAAUCGGGGCAGGGUGAGUCGACCCCUAAGGCGAGGCCGAAAGGCGUAGUCGAUGGGAAACGGGUUAAUAUUCCCGUACUUGGUGUUACUGCGAAGGGGGGACGGAGAAGGCUAUGUUGGCCGGGCGACGGUU